UACGUAGGGGGCGAGCGUUGUCCGGAAUGACUGGGCGUAAAGGGUGUGUAGGCGGUUUAUUAAGUUAGAAGUGAAAUACCUAGGGCUUAACCCAGGUGCUGCUUCUAAAACUGAUAGACUUGAGUGCAGUAGAGGAAAGUGGAAUUCCUGGUGUAGCGGUGAAAUGCUUAGAUAUCAGGAGGAACAUCGGUGGCGUAAGCGCUUUACUGGGCCGUAAUUGACGCUGAGGAACGAAAGCCAGGGUAGCAAAUGGG
rnacentral:rRNA from 1 species